UACGAAGGGGGCUAGCGUUGUUCGGAUUUACUGGGCGUAAAGCGCGCGUAGGCGGACGUUUAAGUCAGGGGUGAAAUCCCAGGGCUCAACCCUGGAACGGCCUUUGAUACUGGACGUCUGGAGAUCGGGAGAGGUUGGUGGAAUUCCGAGUGUAGAGGUGAAAUUCGCAGAUAUUCGGAGGAAUACCAGUGGCGAAGGCGGCUAACUGGACCAUUAUUGACGCUCAUGCACGAAAGCGUGGGGAGCAAACAGG
rnacentral:rRNA from 1 species